rnacentral:rRNA from 1 species
GACUCUCGAUAACGGAUAUCUCAGCUCUUGCAUCAAUGAAGAACGUAGCGAAAUGCGAUACUUGGUGUGAAUUGCAGAAUCCCGUGAACCAUUGAGUCUUUGAACGCAAGUUACGCCUGAAGCCAAUUGGCCGAGGGCACGUCUGCCUGUGCGUCA